GAGGCCUGGUCACUGGCAUUUUUUAAAGCACCAUAGAUGGUUCUAAUGGGUAGCUCGGGUUGAGAGCCGCUGGCAUAGGAUAGGAUAAAUACUUUGUUAAGAGUCUGGCAGAAUAUGAUAGAAAAAUACCCGGAACUUGGAGCCCAAAGAUCCAAAUUUGGGUCUGGGCUUUUUUGGAAUCAUCAUUGUGGCUUUUGGGAAAUUGCUUAACUCUUUUAUCCUCACUUCUCCCAAAAUCCUUACCUCAUUCAAAAUCUGAAGACCAGAUGAAACAGUGCCUGUGAAGUGCUUUGCAAACUCUGAAGUACUGUGUCUAUAGGAGGCAAGGCCUUUUAGAGACUUCUAGUGGGACAAUUCUGCAGUAGUAGUUUUGCUAUUGAACAACUGAGUUCAACUCAGCUGAAAUUUAUUGAAUACCUAACAGGAAACAAACGUUAUACUAGGCGCUAGGCGUACAAAGAUGAACAAGAUAUAGAUCCUAUUCCUUAGGGAACGCUCAUGCUUGGAAAAGGAGGUGGACAUUUCAACAAGGAGAUAUUAAGUGAUGUAGCUCCCAAGGACAGAAACAGCACUAAAGAGAAAUGCUGACUCUGAGGAUUCAGGGCAGGGAAGAGGAGGUGAUGUUUGAGCCAGCUUGAACAAGCAGGUCCUCUAGAAAUAGGGGAAAUAAGAGGCAGGGCUCUUCUAGGUUAAGCCAUGAGCACAAAAAGAUACAGAACUGAUCAUCUGCCCCAUAGUUUGGUAUGGCUGGGGCCCUGGGUGGCAGGGUGAGGUUUGAAUAGUGGACAGAUCAAUGGAAUUGUCAUUCCACACAGACUGGCAUAAAUCUCACCUCUUUUAGGAGAAAGGAAAAGGAAGUUAAAUGGCAGGUUUAAAAUUACAAUGGAUUUAAAAGUAAGGGAAUGAUUGGUUAACCUUCAAGACCAAAUUAUCUCUUUGAAACACAGGUAAUCUGAGUUCAAAGAGUUAACACAGCGUGAAGCCCCUCUUUGGCCCCAGACCCUGAAAAGUUGCUAGGUGACUUUGCGGAAGAGAAACAAAUAGAAACCCUUUCCCAAUUGAGAAGAAAAUUAAUGGGAAAAGAGGUGUUUCAGGGACUUAACACAUCUGCAGGGUGAUUUUCUUCUUCCUUUUUUAUACUUUUAACACUAUUAACACUUGCAAAUAGUAAAAGUAAUUAUGGAGGUGGUUGGGUUUUGACACUUGGAGAGAAAAACUUGAAAGGAGUGUCUGGUAACAAGCAUGAAGUAACUCUAAAUAUAGGCUGAGAAUAGGAAAUGUUAAAGAGCUUGGAAACAAUUAGAAUUUAAAGUCCUACGUUCAGAAUUCCAAAGACCUUUUUUCUUUUUUAAAUUUGCAAUAUCCCUUUAAGAGCUAUUUGGUCCAAUUCAUAGCCUGAUCCAUGACACCAGGGGCCUCUGAUUUCACUGAGAAAUACAGAAAUUUAUAGGGGACUGUAAAAUGGGGAGAGAUUUUUAGUUUUCUAAAUUGAGGUUUUUAACUAGGAAACUUCUGAAGGUUUAAGAAACCACAGAGCCGAGCUGUGGGAAGCUGGUUUCUUUUCCGGUCAGAACAAAUAAACACACAAACACAUAUCUAAUUCACAAAGUGUUGGAAGAGAUAGACCAAUGGUCUUUGCAAAGAAGGAAAACAAAAACUCAGCCUUGUGGACAACAGGAGGAAAGUCACAUUGGCCAGCAGACAGCACCCUAUGCUGGCAGAGGGAGAAAUCUGAGCUCCAGCGGCGUCGGGCGGCAUUUGCACACAGUCUACCGUUUCAAGUUGCAUGUCUCUGGAGUCCUAGCGAAGGCCCCAGCCCGUCUCCCUUCUCAGAGCCCCAAGGAUUAAUGAGAAGCCCCUGUACUACCCGCUGGACAGGCAGAUGAGGACACUGAGGUUCAGAGAGACUGUGUGCUCCCACAAGAGGAUAAUUGACAGCUAGAGCCCAGGACUCCAGACCCUAAUUGCACGGCUCUUUCCUCUCAUCUGCAGACCUCUAAUACUGCCUAUGGACUUCGAGCAUCUCUGAGCCAUGCUAUAUGAUUUCAGGGAAGAGAAAAAUAAUUUUUAUGCAAAAAAUAAGUUAUUAAGCUCUAUUAUGGGCUGAUUUGUGUACCUCCAAAAUUCAUACGAAGCCAUAACCCCCAGUAGCUCAGAAUGUGGCCAUUCGGAGACAAGACGUUUAAAGAGGCGGUAAGUUAAAAGGAGGUUAUUAGGGUGGGACCUAAUCCAAUAUGACUGGUGUCCUUAUAAGAGGAGGAGAUUAAGACACUGACAAUAUAGAGGGGUUGGACCAUGUGAGGACAUAGCAAGAAAGUGGCCAUCUGUGAGUCAAGGAGAGAGGCCUCAAAAGAACAACCUCAAUCAUGAACUUCUUUACAACACCUACCAGCACCUUGAUCUUGAACUUCUAAUCUCCUAAACUGUGUGAAAAUACAUUUCCGCUCUUUAA